CCGUGUCCAUGCUCUAAACGAGGGGUUGCCCUCUACACUAGGGCAAAAAAUUAAAACUCUCUUCGACAUAGCUAGCCUUUCUCUCUAUCUUCGACAACUUUCUUCCUUGGCCUUUCUCUCGACAACUUGUAUUCAACAAAACCAUUCCUCUACAAACCGCGACCCCGACCAUGACUAUCACUCUUCGACAAACCCCGACCCCGACCGUGACCAUCAGUACUCUUCGACAAUGCUAAUCUUAGAACCAACUCUGUUUCAAGGGUUCUUCAAAUCGCUUCCCUUCCCGUCCCAUCGCUUCAGGGUUAUUCCCUUCCCAUUGCUGUAGGGUUCUUCAGAUCUAUUGGCGGUGGUGAUUUUUGCUUUAUUUGGUUGCUUGUGGCUUCGAUUGGCUUCGGCGGUGGUGUUGGCUUCGAUUCGGCAGUGGUUGUAGCUUUGGAGGCGGUGGUGAUUGUUGCUUUAUUUGGUUGCUUGUGGCUUCGAUUGGCUUCGGUGGUGGUGUUGGCUUCGAUUCGGCAGUGGUUGUAGCUUUGGAGGCGGUGGUUGGUCUCGUGAAAGGUUGAAAUUGAGUUCUGGCGACUGUAGAUCUGAAUCGAACUCUCAAAUCAAUUUUGUUCUGAGGCAACAUAGGUACCUUUCCUUCAACAACGACGAGGCCAGAUCCCCAUUCAUUCUUUGCUGAAUUCGAAAUCCCCAAUUUUCUAGGGUUUCAAUUUUCAACCUCAACCCCCAAACCAUGGUCUUAUUCAAGAAAGCUCAGGUAUCCCAUCACAGGUCAUGGACUAAACUUGGAGUUAUGACAGCUUCUUAGCGCAAUAUAAGGCUAUGUCAAGAAUGUCAAACUUUGAUUGAAAACCAUGAUAAGAUAAAGCUUCUCAGCAAUGCGAGAAAUAACUUGAAUACAACCUUAAAGGUGUGGGAUGCAACUGCAGCUGAUCCUAAAUUGCUGGUCUUUUUGAAAUCGUACAGGAAUUUCUUACACACUGAAUCUGGGUAAACAUGGUAUCGAGAAACAACCGUUUCAGCUUCCUGAUUUCAUUGCUGCAACUGGUACUGAGAAAAUUAGACACGUAAAUUGGUCAUGAGGUUUUUUAUUUGGAUUAUUCUUUGAGCACCGCACAUAAGUGCUCCCCUUACUAUCAAUGAGAACUGACUCUUAUGUUCGUACUAAUACAGAGACGUUCCUCAAUAGGAUAGUUCCUGAGGUUAGUAUGUUUACUGUAAUAUCUCAUACAGCCUUAGCAACAUAUGACGUUUCAAUCUUUUUAUUUUUAGGGGGAAUCUGCAUUAUGGAGACUUGCCUGGCACACAUUAAAUCAUCAAUGAGGAUCACUAUGGGGCACUCAUCGACCACCUCUCUUUAGUUCGCAACAAACACUGAAGUUGAUGAACUGCGUAAUGAACUCGCAAAUUAUGAGGUGAAGAACCUGCUAAAGUUGGGAAGUGUGCUGGGAUGAAUCAUUGUUGGUCUUUUUUGGGUAUAUGCAAGGUCUGAAGUGCAUUAGGCAAGAUGUUGGUCCUUUUUGGGUUGGCCUGAAUUGCAUUUCAUCUAUAGAUGUGAUCAUGUACGGAUGAGACUAUUUUAGCCACAUUUGUAGAUGUUUUUUUUUGGUAUGAGAGAUCCGUAGAUGUGAUCUUUUCUAUUUUUUGCAUACAAUUAGCAUUAUCGGAUCCAUUUAUGGGAUUAUAACAGCUAUUUAUUAUAAGAAAAUUAUUGUUCAUUUGGUCAA